CUGGUAGUGACAGAGUCCCAGUUGGUGGUCUUUCAAAAUUAAAACUGGUAAUAGCCCGACAUGGUCCUGAUUCUGACAGAAUACUCCAGUAAAGAAAAACUACAAGAACGUCUUCUGAAAGCAAUUAAUUAUUCAAAAGGAUUUGGCAUGCUCUGAUAACACAAUUAUUUGUAUAGGAAAUUGCUUCAUAUAUAGGAACUGUGAAAUUUUUUUAACAUAAAUUAAAUAAUUGUUUGUGUAAAAAAAUUUUUUUCCUGUAGAAAUUUCAAAUUUUUAAUAAUCUUCAUCCCUACAUUUUCUGCACAUUAAAAUGACAAUAUAAUUUAAACCUAUAUUUUCCUCAAAAGUAUUUUGUCAAUUAGGUAUCAACGAUUGUGUCACUAACAAAAUUUGUGUGAAUCAUUUUUUCCAAGUACAGAUGUUAUAUUUUUAACAUAACCUAAGUAAAACUUUUAUGUAAAUGAAAUUAAUAUUUGAAAAACUUUGUAAUUAUUGCUAUCAUCAAAUGUGUAACAUGAUGAUAAAGAAACUUUUGUUAUAAUGUUUCUUUGUAUAUAACAAAAGUAGAAAUAAUUCAUAAAUAUAUUGCCAGAAGAUAUCUUAAACUUCUAAGUUUAUUGGUAUACUCAGAGGAAUUGUGUCUUGAUUCAGACACAUGUAUAUAGAUUAUGUACAAUUUGUGCUGUUUAGUCAUUGAUUAGAAAUUUUGAAAAUAAAUUUGUUGACAUAAAACCAAAA